GGUUGACUUAGGGCUUAUACUGCAUAUGUUUAACUUAUAUAAGUCUACCAUCAAGAAAUAUUAUACCUAUCCACAUAUUGUAUAAGAAUCUCACUACAGUACACUUUCAUUUUUCCUUUCCGGUCUUUGUGUAAUCGUCAUACAUUUUGAUUCUGCUUAUAUUAUAAACCCCAAAACAUAUUUUUAUUGUCUUUGCUUUAAACAAUUCCCUCUUAAAAGAUGUUUAAAAAGUAAGCAAAAAUGUACCAGAUUUUUAUCUACAUAUUUAAUGUUUCUCAUUCCCUUCAUUCCUUUGUGUAAACUCAGAGUUCCAGCUGAUAUCAUUAUCCUUUGUCUGAAGGACUUCCUUUAACAUUUCUUGUAGUACAAAUUUGCUGGUGAUGAACACUUUGAAGAUGAUUACUGUUUUCUGGCUGUGUCUUUUCAAAUGAGAAAUUAGCUAUCUUUCUUACUUUGUUUCUCUAUUUUCUUGGUGUUUCUAAGAUCCUCUCAUUAUCAUCGGUUUUAAGCAAUUUCACUUUGAUGUGCCUUUUGUUUUUCAUCAUUCUGUUGUUAUUCUUCAGGUUUGUUGAAUUGUUUGGAUCUGUUAGUUUAUAAUGUUUAUCCAAUUUGGAUAAUUUCAGUCAUUGUUCCUUCAACGUUUUUCUCUUUUUCCCUCUCCCAUGUGGUCUCAAAUUACAUGUAUACCUGGCUACUUGGCUUGUCUCACAGCUGUUGUUUCUUCUCAAACAAGUGUCAAUUUGUGAGUUUCAAUUUUGAUGGUUUCUCUUCCAAUGUUUUCAGGUUCACUAAUCUUUUCUUCUGCAGGGUCUAAUCUGAUAUUAAUUUCAUCUUUUCAUUUUUUGUAUUUUUCUUCUUGGAUAUUGUACUUUUUAUCUCUAGGACUUUGGGUUGUUGUGACAUUUUCUAUAUCUCUGCUUAACAUGCUCAGUCUUUCUUCUACCCUCUUGAACAUAUAUAAUAUAGCAAUGAUUAUCUCUGUCAUUCAUGUGUCUGUUCCUAGUUUUUUCCUCCUCAUUAUGGGUCAUAUUUUCCUGGCCUUUUUUAGGUUUCUCACAUGCAUACACUGAUCAGCACUUAGUUGAAGACUCAAGAGGGGCCCUCCACAGGUAUCUCUCUCUCUCUCUUUUCCUGUCUCUCUACUCUAGGAUUCUGCCAUAUGAACUCUAGUUGCUUUGGCCUUUUAUAUCUUUCAACUCUGUACUCACUCAGGACAACUGUAUCCAUUCCUUUUCCAUGUUCUACAGCCUGGGAAUGUUCUUUUGUUAGUAAGUUGCAGCAACUGUAGAAUUCACUUCAUUCCUCCUCUCUCAGGGAUCACUGUGCUGCACUGCUUGAAAACCAUUUUUACAUAUAUUUUUUUGGUUGCUUCAGAUAAGAGGGUAAAUAUGACAUAAAAAACAAAUUCCCCACUCACUUUUAAGUGUCUUACCUAUUGUUUUCUUUCAUUUUCAAGGAGCGUUUUCUGUAUUUUCUUCAAUAAAUGAGAGCGUCCCCUUUCUGGGGUGCUUUUAUUUCCAACUUUCUCUUCUCUGCAGUUUUUAUUCUCUCCAUACUCUGCCUUGCUCUUCACAAAGUGUUGAAGUGAAAAUAAAGAAAUAUUUUGGCUUUAAAUGCUAUUUUUUUUUCUACUGCAGACAAUUCAAAAUUUCUAGAAUUUUCUGUCUUUUAGUUAUGUUGAAUGCACUGGGUUCAUAUGCUUUUCUUUACUCUUCUUGUUCUGUAUAGUUUUGGAGGAUGUGUUGGAACACCAAGUUUUGUGUGAAACUAAUACCUCAGCUACUCUAGAAAUCUUCAUAACAUUUUAAAUUAAGUAACUACAGAAGCAAUAUAAAAGACAGAGAGAGUGCAACAUAUUUGUUCAGUGACGAAAAAAAUGUCCUCAAGUGUCUGGGAAUUCUAGAAUGAUUAAAUAUUCAAUUAAAGGAAUUUAACACAUACAAUUUCAUAGUUCUAUAUUUUAAUUUCAAAGCCAACCAUAUGUAUAUUAAAGGGGGGAGACAUGGCUAAAAAAGAAAAACCCACCUAAAAGAACAGUUAUAGGCUUUAUUUGACUACAACCUUAUGCAAAAUGACUGG
rnacentral:lncRNA from 1 species